rnacentral:rRNA from 1 species
GAGAAAUCUGCCCCAAACUUGGGAAUAACAGUCGGAAACGAUUGCUAAUACCGAAUACCUUCACGACGUCGCAUGGCGAUGUGAAGAAAGCUUUAUGCGGUUUGGGAGGAUCUCGCGGCCUAUCAGCUAGUUGGUGAGGUAAUGGCUCACCAAGGCAUCGACGGGUAGCUGGUCUGAGAGGAUGAUCACGCCACACUGGAACUGAGACACGGUCCAG